GGAAGUAAAAGUCGUAACAAGAUUUCCGUAGGUGAACCUGCGGAAGGAUCAUUAUUGUAUAACCGAGGUGCGAGGGCUGUCGCUGACCCGAAAGGUCGUGCACGCCCGAGUGCCCUCACACACAUCCAUCUCACCCCUAUGUGCACCACCGCGUGGGUCCCCCUUUGGCUUGUUCGGAGGGGGGCUUACGUUUUCACACAAACUUUGUAUGCAGUGUAGAAUGUAUUUUUUGUUUUUGCGAUCACGCAAUCAAUACAACUUUCAACAGCGGAUCUCUUGGCUCUC
rnacentral:misc_RNA from 1 species